AGGCAGGGACCUGUAGUUUCUUGGCGGAAGGCGUGCGUUCCUCUCAGCACCGCGUCUGCGCGCCGCUGUGCGGGAGCCGCCAUGCCGGAGGGGAAGGCCGCGUUCCGGGAGGUGCUGCCCAAGCAAGGGCAGCUGUCGGUGGAGGACGCGGCCGCCAUGGUGCUGUGCAAGCCCAAGGUGCUGCCCCUCAAGUCGGUGUCGCUGGAGAAGCUGGAGAAGCUGCAGCGGGCGGCGCUGGAGGCGGCGCGGCCAGCCGAGGGGACCCCGCCGCCCCGGCCCUAGCCCCGGGGAGGGGUGGUGAGCACCGUGCCCUGCGGUGGCCGCACCCGCGACUCGGAGGGUUCUGCUGACACCAUGUGAACACAGAGAUGAAGCGCCUAUGUACUGAGGGGAGAGCAACAGAAACUCCAGUCCCAGCCCAGCAGUUAGCUGUGCCACAGCACAAGGUUUAACUUUCAGCACCUUUCCCUGCAAGUGGCACUCCAGUCCCUGACAGCAAGCCUGCCUCUUUUCUCUCUUCCUUAGUGACUGCGUGACCAGACAGGUGACAGCACAUACAAAUCAAAGAAAAGGCAUUUUCAGAAUAUUUGUGAGUGAAGAUGUUCCCUAAGGGGGAAAAAGAAUCACACAGCAACCGUCUCCUGUAUAACCCAGUCCUCCAGAGUUCCAGUAUGACCAGAUCUCCCUGCCAUAAUUCAGUUCCAUACUCCUCACAGACUACAGAAGUAACAUUCAGAGCAAUACUACAGAUCACAGCAAUCUGAGCAAAGAAGUUUUCCAACCAAUGCUUAUUGGAAAGAAGCUUUCCAUGAUCAAGAAGUGUAGCAGCAGUCCAAAAGCCUAUCCUUCCAUCACAUCAGUCUCCAUUACAAUCAUAGAAAAGCUAAGCAUACAGAAGUUCCACAGAAUAUUAAUUCUUCAUUAAACUUUCUUUUAUGCACUCAUCAGCUAUUUAAAAUUAAGCUAUCUCUGUUAAUGUAAAGUGUUGAAUUGCAGGGAAAAAACUGAUACUGGAAGAAGGUUUUCAUAUUCCCAUAUACCAUCCUCUCAGCAGCUACGGCUACAGCAAACAGCCUCUGCUCAAAGGACACCACCAUCACUCUGCUUAUGUUAUACAGAAUUUACUUGUGGUCUCACAAUUGUGUUGAUCUCAGAGACUUUAGUAAUUCUGUUUGUAAUCAGUGUUUCCUUUCCUCAGUGAUUCAAUGUCAUAAAGCACCCUCUGCCCAACAAACUUUACUUUUUUCUCCCAAUAAUAUGGCUGUGAGGUACAGUCUUCCACAACAUAUUCUAAAUAAAUACAUGUAAACAAAA